UGCGGUAACACAUAGGUCACGAGCAUUAUCCGGAUUUAUUGGGCGUAAAGGAAGCGUAGGCGGACAGUCUGAUCCAGUGUUAAAUGCAUCUGCUCAACAGAUGUAUGCAUUGGAGAUCACCUGUCUAGAAUUAGUUAGGGGGUACUGGAAUUCAAUGUGGAGCGGUGGAAUGCGUAGAUAUAUUGAGGAACACCAGAGGCUAAGGCGAGUACCUGGGACAUAAUUGACGCUGAGGCUUGAAAGCGUGGGGAGCAAAUGGGAUUAGAUACCCCAGUAGUCCACGCCGUAAACGAUGGGUAUUAGGUAUUUGGAGUUCUCUGAGUGCUGUAGCUAACGCGUUAAAUACCCCGCCUGGGUAGUAUAUAUGCAAAUAUGAAACUCAAAGAAAUUGACGGGGACCUGAACAAGUGGUGGAGCAUGUUGCUUAAUUCGAUAAUACACGAAAAACCUUACCAAGGCUUGUAAUCUUCUGCAAAGCUAUAGAAAUAUAGUGGAGGCUAUCAGAAUGACAGGUGGUGCAUGGCUGUCGUCAGCUCGUGUCUUGAGAUGUUUGGUUAAGUCCCGUAACGAGCGCAACCCUACUCAUUAGUUACCUAGUUCUAAUGUGACUGAAUCGUAAGAUAUAGGAAGGAUGGGGCCAAGUCAAGUCAUCAUGCCCCUUAUGCCUUGGGCUGCAAACGUGCUACAAUGGUAGGUACAAUGUGUCGCAACCUAGCGAUAG
rnacentral:rRNA from 1 species